rnacentral:rRNA from 1 species
GACGAACGCUGGCGGCGUGCUUAACACAUGCAAGUCGAACGGAAAGGCCCUGCUUUUGUGGGGUGCUCGAGUGGCGAACGGGUGAGUAACACGUGAGUAACCUGCCCUGGACUUUGGGAUAACUUCAGGAAACUGGGGCUAAUACCGGAUAGGAGCUCCUGCUGCAUGGUGGGGGUUGGAAAGUUUCGGCGGUUGGGGCUGGACUCGCGGCUUAUCAGCUUGUUGGUGGGGUAGUGGCUUACCAAGGCUUUGACGGGUAGCCGGCCUGAGAGGGUGACCGGCCACAUUGGGCCUGAGAUACGGCCCAGACUCCUACGGGAGGCAGCAGUGGGGAGUAUUGCACAAUGGGCGGAAGCCUGAUGCAGCAACGCCGCGUGCGGGAUGACGGCCUUCGGGUUGUAAACCGCUUUCGCCUGUGACGAAGCGUGAGUGACGGUAAUGGGUAAAGAAGCACCGGCUAACUACGUG